UUUAAAGUGGUACGCGAGCUGGGUUUAGAACGUCGUGAGACAGUUCGGUCCCUAUCUGCCGUGGGCGCUGGAGAAUUGAGGGGGGGCUGCUCCUAGUACGAGAGGACCGGAGUGGACGCAUCACUGGUGUUCGGGUUGUCAUGCCAAUGGCACUGCCCGGUAGCUAAAUGCGGAAGAGAUAAGUGCUGAAAGCAUCUAAGCACGAAACUUGCCCCGAGAUGAGUUCUCCCUGAGACUUUAAGUCUCCUGAAGGAACGUUAAAGACGAUGACGUUGAUAGGCCGGGUGUGUAAGCGCAGCGAUGCGUUGAGCUAACCGGUACUAAUGAACCGUGAGGCUUAACCUUACAACGCCGAAG
rnacentral:rRNA from 1 species